GAGUCUCAACAGCAGCUGAGAGGGAACAGCAAGCAUGCUGCUGCCGGCAGCUCUUAUGGCCACAACUGUGUUGUUUUACGGAUUUGCACAGGAAAUUCCUAUACAGAGCCCCAUAUCCAUCACCAGGUUCCAGAAAAGUGCACGUAUGUUCUGUGAAAUGAAUAAAUUACCAGGACGUUUUGAUAACACCAUCAUGCACUGGUAUCAACUGAAAGAGAAUAAACCUCCAGAGAGGCUACUCUUCUUUGAAGGAGGGAAAGCUAGAGUUGAAAGUGGCUUUCAAGACAACAAGUACAUGGUUGAUAAAGUUUCUACUCGGAAUCUGUGUAUUCUUACAAUAAACGAUGUAAGUCCAGAUGAUGCUGCUACAUACUACUGUGCCUACUGGGACCCGCACCAUGAUAGAUGCUCAGAGACCAGCAAGACACAUAACUCCUUCAACCACGCAGCUUCAACUUCAGUCUACACCACAGGAUUGCUACUGCCUCAUUCCCCCUGCCUUCUCUCUCCAUCUGCUAUCAGCUGCUACCCAGAGCAAAUACUGCACAGAUGCAGGGUAUCAAAAAAAUUAAGGGCUGGGAGGGACCUCUGGAGAUCAUCCAGUCCAACCUCCCUGCUAAAGCAGAUUCCCUAGAGCAGGUUACAUGGGAAAGCAUCCAAGAAGGUCUUGAAUCUCUCCAGACGAUGUCUUGAUGUCUUCCGGAUGAUGCAGCUACCUAGUAUUGUUCCUACUGUGAUGCUCACAGGGGCAGAAGCCCAACAAUCCUGUCAACCAAUACUUCUCCAGCAGGUCAACCACAAACCACGUGAAAGAUCCCAACUCACUUCCCCAGCAGCAUGGGGGUGUCUCCUGAACACAUGGGUGGGAUUUCCCCACUGCUGACCAGGUCCUUGCACAUGUCAGCUGGCAAAAGGAAGGGAUUUCAAGCAAGCAAGCGCCGAGGGUGAAACAAACAGUGAAAGUCUGAAAUAUAACCCAACCUCAGCACUUCAGGUGUUCUUCCUCUUUCCUCAAGCAUAGCCAUGAAUUGUUUGUAAUGGUUCAGCUUGGAUACUAGGAAGAAUUUCUUCUCAGAAAGAGUGGCCAUAUGUUGGAACACGCUGCUCAGGGAAGUGGUGGACUCCCCGUCCUUGGAGGCAUUCAAGAAAAGGGUGGAUGUGGCACUUAGGGACGUGGUUUGUCAACAGGCUUGACGGUUGGACUAGAUGACCAUAGCAGUCUUUUCCAACCAUAAUGAUUCUAUGAUUCUGUGAUUUCUUCAGUAGAAAGCAGUGCUUUUCCACGCUGUUGUUCCUGGAGAUGACUCAGCAUGUUGCCCUGAAGAUUUUCAAAGCCUUUUGCUUGAUAAGAAAACUAAGAGAGAUCUUUAGCUUGAACAGUCCUAAGAUUUUCAGGGAAGAAAAAUGUCUUAUUUUGGUUUAGAAGCCAGCAAGUGAGGGAGAAGGGAGAUUUGCUAUUUAUUCCUCCGGAGAUCUGGAGAUGAGCAUUUUUCUUCUUUUUUGAGCUCUGUUGGUCUCCUUCCCCAUCCCUAUCCUUGCUCUCAUUUUCUGUGUUUCACUCCCAGUCAUCACAGUAACAACACAUCUGAAUCACUACAGCAGUGUGGAUGCAUGAUGGCCAAAGCCAGUAACAACGAAAAGGGCUUUCCUCCUUUAAGAACGACUUUCCGUAUUUAUGCCUGUAAGCAGUGUGUCCCACUUAGCUACAGCUUCAGUGUUCAUGUUGACCCUCACGGCUAUGAAAAUAAUCCACCGAAGUUUUUCCCUAUCAUCAAGCCUUUCUUUAGUAUUUUCCUUUGCUGUGGGACACUGAGACUCUCCUGACUUUCUUCUUUGAACUGUAAGUCACUGAAGAAUAUUAAUCUGAUGGGUUGAAAAAGUGACACAGUUUCAUGUAUGUAGUAGGUGUCCAAAUGGGCUAGUGUUGAAUUUUGUCCUACUACUGCUUGCAAGCCAAAAAUAUACAGAGGAACUGCACAACCUUUCUGCAACACACAGUGCUUUGCUUGCUGUGUUUCUUCCAAUGAGACCUCCCAUCUACUCACAGUUGUGGACACAGUCCAAUCCCAGCAAGAGCAGGCAAGGUGGCAGUGCGUCCUUCACAGCGUGACUUGGUACACAGCAGGGGAAGAACUGGUCAGCUUCUUUCUCUACCUAAGUUACUGUUCGCAUUGCAUUUCGUUUGCAAUAAAAGUAAUAGAAUUUCUUAUGUUGGAAAAGCCCCAUAAGAUCAUCAAGUCCACCCAUCCAUCUAGCACUACGAAGUCCAGCACUAAACCUUGUCCCUUAGCACAACUACUACAUGCCUUUUAAAUACCCCCAGAGAUGGGAACUCCACCGUUUAUUUCACUGAGCAGCCUGUUCAGCAAUUCUGCUCAGACAAAUUUAGAAUAGAUGACUGUUUCUGUUACAUCUGCUUAAACUGAAAGGUGGUCUAAACUGCUUAAACCAUCUGCAGCCUGGUUCCUCUCAGCAGCCACAAACUGUAAUUUCUUGACAUUGGUUUCUAGUCAUUACGGCACACAAGGUCCCAGAAGUAUUCAAACUGUUCCUCUGACAUGUCAAACUAAGCAUGCAGCCGGAUUGUCAGUACCAGGGUUUUCUCCGGUCUUAUCUUGGGCUGUCCUGAAAGAAACAAGUGUGCAAAAGGAAAGUGUUCAUCAUCCUUAUGCUGAUGUACCAAAAGAUGUCGGUGAGUGGUUAUUUCAGGGUCAGGAUCGAUUGCAGGAGGCAGACAG